UUUGAAAAGAGAGUUAAAAAGUGCGUGAAACCGUUGGCAGGGAAGCGAAUGGAGUUAGCAAAUCCGUGCUUGGCUUCGAUCUUUAURGACGAGCCUCGUACGAUCGCGUUACGUGGGCAGUGCACUUCCGGUUGGCGAAAGUCAACGUCGGUUCGCGCGGAGUCCAAAAGCUGCGAGUUCGGUAGAUCCCUAGGCUUGCGUGCAAUCCGUGCAGACCGGGCGCASCACGUGCCUGCAGGCUGCUGUCUUUAUCGUUGAAUCGKUUUCASAUCGCCGGGCGGACGGUUUUUCCUGUGCGUCCUGGUGCGGGCAUUCAAACGGUAUSGCAAGCAGACACGACSUGYUGAKGACGUUGACCGUCUCGCGGCUCCAUCCGACCCGUCYYGAAACACGGACCAAGGAGUCUAACAUGUGCGCAAGUCUCAGAGCGAUCGAAACUCAUUGGGCGUAAUGAAAGUGAAWGCAKUUUCGGCUGCAGAGAUGAGAGGCGUAGCGGCAUCAUCGACCGACCUAUUCUACUCUUAGAAAGGUUUGAGUUAGAGCGUACCUGUUGGGACCCGAAAGAUGGWGAACUAUGCUUGAAUAAGGCGAAGCCAGCGG
rnacentral:rRNA from 1 species